AUUGAACGCUGGCGGCAGGCUUAACACAUGCAAGUCGAGCGGAGAUGAGGUGCUUGCACCUUAUCUUAGCGGCGGACGGGUGAGUAAUGCUUAGGAAUCUGCCUAUUAGUGGGGGACAACAUUCCGAAAGGGAUGCUAAUACCGCAUACGUCCUACGGGAGAAAGCAGGGGAUCUUCGGACCUUGCGCUAAUAGAUGAGCCUAAGUCGGAUUAGCUAGUUGGUGGGGUAAAGGCCUACCAAGGCGACGAUCUGUAGCGGGUCUGAGAGGAUGAUCCGCCACACUGGGACUGAGACACGGCCCAGACUCCUACGGGAGGCAGCAGUGGGGAAUAUUGGACAAUGGGGGGAACCCUGAUCCAGCCAUGCCGCGUGUGUGAAGAAGGCCUUAUGGUUGUAAAGCACUUUAAGCGAGGAGGAGGCUACUGAGACUAAUACUCUUGGAUAGUGGACGUUACUCGCAGAAUAAGCACCGGCUAACUCUGUGCCAGCCGCCGCUGUAAUAC
rnacentral:rRNA from 1 species